CCAAGCUAAGUAACCUUGAGUAGAACCCUUCCUCGCUUUCUCAUCCCUCAUAGUUUGGCUUCCCCAUCUAUAAAACAGAAGAGAUUACAUUGUUUAUAUAAGUGUUAUAUAGAUGAAAAUAUAUAGUUAUAAAGAUGGAAAGAGCUCCAUAUGUGUUUAGAGCAGUACCUGGCAAAACAAAAAUCUACAUAAGAACUAAAAUAUCCCCCAAAAUCCCAUGGUGGAGGAAAGAAAAGGCCAAAAUCCUGGCACCAACUGGAGAAGGAGCAUCCCUCCCAGGGAAAGUUCACCCAACUCUGACAACAACCAAGAAGUGCACCAUGCACCACGGGAACAGACCUCUGCUCUGAUGCCAGCAUAUAGACCAGCGCAGACACAGCGCUGGGUCAAUGAUGGACCACACCACAUCUCAACCAGGACUGCUUAGUUGUGCAAACCUCUUACUGUCUGUCUAACCCUACGCCUCAUAUUUGUGGCCCAAACUAUCUUGAAGGGUCUCUGCAUCUCUUUAUUUGUUCAUCUCAGUACGACCCCAAUGAAUAAAUCUUUCUUUCUCCGCC